rnacentral:misc_RNA from 1 species
UCCGUGGUAACACCACGGCAGUCCCUGGUGACACUCAUAACACCAGGCAAGGGUUGCGCUCGUUGCGGGACUUAACCCAACAUCUCACGACACGAGCUGACGACAGCCAUGCACCACCUGUGAUGAGGUCCGAAGAAGACGUGUUUCCACGUUUGUCCUCAACAUGUCAAGCCUAGGUAAGGUUCUUCGCGUUGCGUCGAAUUAAACCACAUGCUCCGCUGCUUGUGCGGGUCCCCGUCAAUUCCUUUGAGUUUUAGCCUUGCGGCCGUACUCCCCAGGCGGGGCGCUUAAUGCGUUAGCUUCGGCACGGAGGGAGUCGACACCCCCCACACCUAGUGUUCAUCGUUUACGGCUAGGACUAC